UACGUAGGGCGCAAGCGUUGUCCGGAAUUAUUGGGCGUAAAGAGCUCGUAGGCGGUCUGUCGCGUCUGGUGUGAAAUCCCGAGGCUCAACCUCGGGCUUGCAUCGGGUACGGGCGGACUAGAGUGCUGUAGGGGAGACUGGAAUUCCUGGUGUAGCGGUGGAAUGCGCAGAUAUCAGGAGGAACACCGGUGGCGAAGGCGGGUCUCUGGGCCGAUACUGACGCUGAGGAGCGAAAGCGUGGGGAGCGAACAGG
rnacentral:rRNA from 1 species